rnacentral:rRNA from 1 species
UCGGGAAUUUUGGGCAAUGGGCGAAAGCCUGACCCAGCAACGCCGCGUGAAGGAUGAAGUAUUUCGGUAUGUAAACUUCGAAAGAAUGGGAAGAAUAAAUGACGGUACCAUUUAUAAGCUCCGGCUAACUACGUGCCAGCAGCCGCGGUAAUACGUAGGGACCAAGCGUUGUUCGGAUUUACUGGGCGUAAAGGGCGCGUAGGCGGCAUGACAAGUCACUUGUGAAAUCUCUGGGCUUAACCCAGAACGGCCAAGUGAUACUGUCGCGCUAGAGUGCAGAAGGGGCAAUCGGAAUUCUUGGUGUAGCGGUGAAAUGCGUAGAUAUCAAGAGGAACACCUGAGGUGAAGACGGGUUGCUGGGCUGACACUGACGCUGAGGCGCGAAAGCCAGGGGAGCAAACGGGAUUAGAUACCCUUGUAGUCCCUGAGCGGGCUGGCAAGGCGCAU